AGAGUUUAAUCCUGGCUCAGGACGAACGCUGGCGGCGUGCCUAAUACAUGCAAGUCGAGCGGACAGAAGGGAGCUUGCUCCCGGAUGUUAGCGGCGGACGGGUGAGUAACACGUGGGUAACCUGCCUGUAAGACUGGGAUAACUCCGGGAAACUGGAGCUAAUACCGGAUAGUUCCUUGAACCGCAUGGUUCAAGGAUGAAAGACGGUUUCGGCUGUCACUUACAGAUGGACCCGCGGCGCAUUAGCUAGUUGGUGAGGUAACGGCUCACCAAGGCGACGAUGCGUAGCCGACCUGAGAGGGUGAUCGGCCACACUGGGACUGAGACACGGCCCAGACUCCUACGGGAGGCAGCAGUAGGGAAUCUUCCGCAAUGGACGAAAGUCUGACGGAGCAACGCCGCGUGAGUGAUGAAGGUUUUCGGAUAGUAAAGCUCUGUUGUUAGGGAAGAACAAGUGCAAGAGUAACUGCUUGCACCUUGACGGUACCUAACCAGAAAGCCACGGCUAACUACGUGCCAGCAGCCGCGGUAAUACGUAGGUGGCAAGCGUUGUCCGGAAUUAUUGGGCGUAAAGGGCUCGCAGGCGGUUUCUUAAGUCUGAUGUGAAAGCCCCCGGCUCAACCGGGGAGGGUCAUUGGAAACUGGGAAACUUGAGUGCAGAAGAGGAGAGUGGAAUUCCACGUGUAGCGGUGAAAUGCGUAGAGAUGUGGAGGAACACCAGUGGCGAAGGCGACUCUCUGGUCUGUAACUGACGCUGAGAGCGAAAAGC
rnacentral:rRNA from 1 species